AACGCAUAUUGCACUCUUUGGUAUUCCGAAGAGUAUGCUUGUUUCAGUAUCAUGAAAAUCUCACAAUUUUCAAUUUUUUUUUGAAAAUUAGUGGACUUGGAUUUGCGAUGUGAUAUUCCAUAUUGCUAAUCUCAAAUAGAUUUCAUGAAGCUCAAAGGCUUUCAAUCUUUGCUUAAUAGUUUUGCUUUGUCAAAUCUUUUGCAUUGAUUUAGAAGCAAAAGUGAAUUGAUUUUACGAAAAUUAAUGUCAUUUUUUGAUCUGAAAUCAAGUAGGACUACCCGCUGAACUUAA
rnacentral:misc_RNA from 1 species